GGGGAUGUGGCUCAGUGGUAGAGCACUUGCCUAGCAUGUGUGAGGACCUGGGUUCAUCCCCA
rnacentral:tRNA from 1 species